CCUACGUGGUGCAGCAGUGAGGAAUAUUGGUCAAUGGGCUUACGCCUGAACCAGCCAAGUCGCGUGAGGGAAGACUGCCCUAUGGGUUGUAAACCUCUUUUGUCAGGGAGCAAAGCCGGCUACGUGUAGCCGGACUGAGAGUCCCUGAAGAAAAAGCAUCGGCUAACUCCGUGCCAGCAGCCGCGGUAAUACGGAGGGUGGGAGCGUUAUCUGGAUUUAUUGGGCGUAAAGCGCUCGUAGGCGGUAUGUCAAGUCAAGGAUGAAAUCCCCGCGCUCAACGUGGGAACUGCCUUUGAAACUGGCAAACUUGAGUGUGUGAGAGGAUAGUGGAAUUCCAGGUGUAGGGGUGAAAUCCGUAGAUAUCUGGAAGAACAUCAGUGGCGAAGGCGACUAUCUGGCACAUAACUGACGCUGAGGAGCGAAAGCGUGGGUAGCAAACAGGAUUAGAUACCCGGGUAGUC
rnacentral:rRNA from 1 species